AAGCAGUGUCUCACUCUCUUUCUUCUUCCUUUUAGAUUUACUGAAAUGAGAUUGUUCAAGUAUAGCCACACAACGCACGUCCUUUCCAAAUAAAGUUUCCCUAAGAGCAUCCUUGCUCUUCAUGUCUCUGUAAACACAUACAAGCCCAUGAAGGAGUGAUUCAUAUUGAAGGGUAAGCAGUGGGGAAACGUCUGAGGUUGGAGUCUCAAGGCAGGAAACAAUGUCCUUUUUUAAAUUAGCCACAUCAUUAAGGGAAUUUUCACUUCAUACAUGGUAACAUACAAGUCAAGGUACUUAGCACAGACUUCUUUCCUGCUAAUAGAAACAUCAAGAGCUAAUACAGAUUUCUCACAGCCCUGCAAAGUUCAAAUCCCUGAAUUGACCAUUCUCACUCUCACUAACAGCAGCAACCAGAGGGACUAGAAAGAAAAGACAGCACUAAGUGCUGCUGUUUCAGGUCCAAGUUGAGGCCUGAUGUCGCUGGCGGCCGCGGUUGCUCCUGCGAGACGUCCCCGACGGUGUCCCCCUGCGCCUGGGCCUGUCAGCCCUUGCUGCUGUGCUGCUGCUCCUGUCCUGGCGACUCCUGCACUGGACAGGUCCAUUCGAGGCCCGACGCUGCAGGCGGGAGCGGCUGCGUCUGGGGGACGGCCCUGAUGGUGUCUCUGCUCGCCUGGGCCUGUCAGCCCCUGAUGCUGUCCUGUCGUCCCUGCCACGCCGACUCCUUGUCUGAACAGCUGGGCUCUGGGCCCGACGCUGCAGGCGGGAGCGGCUGCGUGUGGCAGAUGCCCACAAUGGUGUGUCCCUUCGCCUGGGCCUCUCGGCCCUUGAAAUUCUUCUGUGGCUCCUGUCACGGUGACUCCUUGACCGGACAGCAGGACUUAGGGCCCAACGCUGCAGGUGAAAGCGGCUGCGUCUGGGGAAUGUCUGCGACCAUGUCUCCCUUCGCCUGGGCCUGUCAGCUCUUGAAAUUCUCAUGUGGCUCCUGUCACUCCAACUCCUUGUCUGAACAGCUGGACUCUGGACCCGACGCUGUAGGCGGGAGCAGCUGCGUCUGGAGGACGCAUCUGGCCCUGAUGGUGUCUCCCUUCCACUGGGCCGCUCAGUCCCUGAAAUUGUCCUGUGGCUCUUGUCAUAUACAUCCCUUAUCAGAAAAGAUGGACUCUGGGCCUGACGCUGCCGGUGGGAGCGGCUGCGUCUGGGGAAUUGCCGUGAUGGUGUCUCCCUUUGCCUGCGCCUCUCGGCCCUUGGCUUUGCCCUGGUGCUCCUGUCACGGUGACUCCUUGACCGGACAGCUGGACUCUGGGCCUGCCGCUGCCGGCGGGAGCGGCUGCGUCUGGGGGACGGCCCUGAUGGUGUCUCUGUUUGCCUGGGCCUGUCAGCCCCUGAUGCUGUCCUGUCGUCCCUGUCAUGCCGACUCUUUGACCGGACAGCUGGACUCUGGGCCUGCCGCUGCCGGCGGGAGCGGCUGCGUCUGGGGGACGGCCCUGAUGGUGUCUCUGUUUGCCUGGGCCUGUCAGCCCCUGAUGCUGUCCUGUCGUCCCUGUCAUGCCGACUCUUUGACCGGACAGCUGGACUCUGGGCCUGCCGCUGCCGGCGGGAGCGGCUGCGUCUGGGGGACGGCCCUGAUGGUGUCUCUGUUUGCCUGGGCCUGUCAGCCCCUGAUGCUGUCCUGUCGUCCCUGUCAUGCCGACUCUUUGACCGGACAGCUGGACUCUGGGCCUGCCGCUGCCGGCGGGAGCGGCUGCGUCUGGGGGACGGCCCUGAUGGUGUCUCUGUUUGCCUGGGCCUGUCAGCCCCUGAUGCUGUCCUGUCGUCCCUGUCAUGCCGACUCUUUGACCGGACAGCUGGACUCUGGGCCUGCCGCUGCCGGCGGGAGCGGCUGCGUCUGGGGGACGGCCCUGAUGGUGUCUCUGUUUGCCUGGGCCUGUCAGCCCCUGAUGCUGUCCUGUCGUCCCUGUCAUGCCGACUCUUUGACCGGACAGCUGGACUCUGGGCCUGCCGCUGCCGGCGGGAGCGGCUGCGUCUGGGGGACGGCCCUGAUGGUGUCUCUGUUUGCCUGGGCCUGUCAGCCCCUGAUGCUGUCCUGUCGUCCCUGUCAUGCCGACUCUUUGACCGGACAGCUGGACUCUGGGCCUGCCGCUGCCGGCGGGAGCGGCUGCGUCUGGGGGACGGCCCUGAUGGUGUCUCUGUUUGCCUGGGCCUGUCAGCCCCUGAUGCUGUCCUGUCGUCCCUGUCAUGCCGACUCUUUGACCGGACAGCUGGACUCUGGGCCUGCCGCUGCCGGCGGGAGCGGCUGCGUCUGGGGGACGGCCCUGAUGGUGUCUCUGUUUGCCUGGGCCUGUCAGCCCCUGAUGCUGUCCUGUCGUCCCUGUCAUGCCGACUCUUUGACCGGACAGCUGGACUCUGGGCCUGCCGCUGCCGGCGGGAGCGGCUGCGUCUGGGGGACGGCCCUGAUGGUGUCUCUGUUUGCCUGGGCCUGUCAGCCCCUGAUGCUGUCCUGUCGUCCCUGUCAUGCCGACUCUUUGACCGGACAGCUGGACUCUGGGCCUGCCGCUGCCGGCGGGAGCGGCUGCGUCUGGGGGACGGCCCUGAUGGUGUCUCUGUUUGCCUGGGCCUGUCAGCCCCUGAUGCUGUCCUGUCGUCCCUGUCAUGCCGACUCUUUGACCGGACAGCUGGACUCUGGGCCUGCCGCUGCCGGCGGGAGCGGCUGCGUCUGGGGGACGGCCCUGAUGGUGUCUCUGUUUGCCUGGGCCUGUCAGCCCCUGAUGCUGUCCUGUCGUCCCUGUCAUGCCGACUCUUUGACCGGACAGCUGGACUCUGGGCCCGACGCUGCCGGCGGGAGCGGCUGCGUCUGGGGAAUUGCCGUGAUGGUGUCUCCCUUUGCCUGCGCCUCUCGGCCCUUGGUUUUGCCCUGGUGCUCCUGUCACGGUGACUCCUUGACUGGAUGGGUCGAUUUGGGGCCCGACCUUGCUGGCGAGAGCGCUUUCGCCUGCGCUCAGGCCCAGCACAUCUGCAAUGGACCCUGUUCUCAGGGUCUGUGGAGCUGCUGUACGUUGACCCUGAUGUGCUUGAGCUGCCGGUGUCCAGCGAGGAAGGUGGCAGCGACGUCUGCGCUGCUGCAUGUCGGUGGCUGCUGCGCCUGCUGGUCUCUGGAGACUGGGGAGCCAGACCCGAUGGCAGCAGGCUGUGGGAGCUGGAGCUGAUGGCCUCUGAUUCUGGGGAGCCAUGAGAAGGUUCCAGUCCUGACUGGCUGGUCAGGCUGGGGCCAUGGAGCUCCGGCCCAUCCCUGGAGGCU
rnacentral:lncRNA from 1 species